UCCAUCAUUGAGUUGGGCACUCUAAAGGGACUGCCGGUGUUAAACCGGAGGAAGGUGGGGAUGACGUCAAGUCCUCAUGGCCUUUAUGUCCAGGGCUACACACGUACUACAAUGGGCGGUACAAAGGGAAGCGAGCCCGCGAGGGGGAGCCAAUCCCAAAAAGCCGUUCACAGUUCGGAUUGGAGUCUGCAACUCGACUCCAUGAAGUUGGAAUCGCUAGUAAUCGCGGAUCAGCAUGCCGCGGUGAAUACGUUCCCGGGUCUUGUACACACCG
rnacentral:rRNA from 1 species